rnacentral:misc_RNA from 1 species
UCCGGUUUGUCACCGGCAGUCUCCCUAGAGUUCCCGACCGAAUCGCUGGCAAAUAGGGACAGGGGUUGCGCUCGUUACGGGACUUAACCCAACAUUUCACAACACGAGCUGACGACAGCCAUGCAGCACCUGUCUGAGAGCUCCCGAAGGCACCAAGGCAUCUCUGCCAAGUUCUCUCGAUGUCAAGGGUAGGUAAGGUUCUUCGCGUUGCAUCGAAUUAAACCACAUGCUCCACCGCUUGUGCGGGCCCCCGUCAAUUCAUUUGAGUUUUAACCUUGCGGCCGUACUCCCCAGGCGGUCGACUUAUCGCGUUAACUGCGCCACAAAGUCCGCGAGGGACCCAACGGCUAGUCGACAUCGUUUACGGCGUGGACUAC